GGAAGCCAAGCAAGCGCCCGUUCACUAUUUGCUGUCAACUAUUCUAAGUAUUUCUUCAAUUCGAGACGAAGAUUCAACCACAGGGCCAACGAAAAUCAAGAAGAAGCCAUGGGAAGUGCGGAGAAACCGAAGUUCCGAGUGGAUCUGUACAGAUUUAAAAACAUUUCAAAAUGGCGCCAGAGCCACUGGAUAUAUCUGAGCAUGAGUUGCUCUUUAAAGCAACCAAUUUAUCCAAACUGGCCUCCAUAGAUUUGUCUCAGUACCUGCAGGCAUACAUGAGGAAUAUUAGAAACCUCUACAAUAACUCCUCAGCAGCAUAAAAAAUGAAUUUUGCUGAAGCUGCGAUGUUGAUUCAAAAUUCAUUGAUUAUCUUUGCCAAGAAUGUCAACUCAAUUUGGGCAAGAGCUGUAAACAUACGGCUUGCUUUAUCUGCUAACAUAGAGUAAGUGACCAAAGUAUUUUUUUAGGGUCUUUACUCUUUCAAUAGGCGCUAGAUGAAGAUUCACCGUGUACAUCCCACAAACCAAGUUAGGAAAAAUAUACUGGCAAAACAUGGCAGUCUGAGGCGCUUUAAGGCCCUCUCUCAUGCAUAGAUGUGUACGCCAUCUGUCAUGAAUAUGAUGCAAUUGUAGUUUAUAUUCUCACUAACAAAAAGUAUCUAAAGCCACAUUGACAUAUGCAUAGACAGCAGAUGUCAAGUUUUUAAGCUUUUAAAUUUUGAGAAAAUGGCGCUCAAAGUUUUCAAAGCUGUGCACCUUUGCGUCUGUACAGCAAAGAGGGUUUGGUAAAGGAAAUCAUUUUAGACAAAAGAGCAUAUCUUUUUAAAAAAAAUAAGCUCUAGGAAUUUAAAUUUAAAGCAAAUUCAAUGGAAGGGCUUGGAAGUCAAGGGGGAUGAGUGCAGCUUUUGAAAAACUUUCGAUAUUAAUGAUUUAAACUAUAACUAGUCCUAGAAUAUAAUCUGUGAAAAAGUCACUACCAAAAUCCAAUUGUUAAGCAUCAAAAACUGAGUUUGAACUUUCUCUCCGCAACAAGGCUCCAUUCCACUUUGAACUUUUCAUAACCUACUCUUGAAAUAGCAAAAACUGCUCUUGGCCCACUUGUCAUUCAAAGCCCUCAGUUGAGAUGCAGUGAUUUUAAGAAAAAUGACGUCAUCUCCUGUCCUUACGUAAAACUAUUUUUAAGACAUAAAAUUAACUACUUAUCUAAUGUAAAAAAGGAGAAGUGCUUUAAAUGAAUCAACGUAUGAUAACUGUUGAGUUUUUUAAUGAUUUUUCUAAGGAACUAAGUGUUUGGUAACUUUCAAAUUGGACACUAGAGUCAAAUUAUAUUAUUAAUCUUCUAAAAUAGGGAAAAAAUUGAAGAGGGUGCCAUCCUACAGAUACCUAUGUGUAACAGACUUAUUUAUGUUUAUUACUAGGUACUUUAAUGUGCUUAUUUACACUCAUUAAGGAGAUCAAUGAGCUUGGUUAAGAUGAACUGCGAAUUCUGACGUCCGCUUUUUUUAGGUAUAACAUGGUUUCUCAUUUAUAUCUUAAUGGAAAAUUAUGCAAGAAGUCUGAAACUUGGCACCAACUCUUGAGGGUUCAUGGAUACCAUUGAAUUGUUCCAUUAAAGAGAGAGCGCAAUGUACAAACUGGUGGAUAGGUUUACGCAACGGUUCUAUCGAUAGGGUUAAAUUAAAAACAC
rnacentral:lncRNA from 1 species